ACGGUCCUUCGGGAUAGUGGCGCACGGGUGAGUAACGCGUGGGAACGUACCUUUUAGUAUGGGAUAACCUCGGGAAACUGGGAUUAAUACCAUAUACGCCCUUCGGGGGAAAGAUUUAUCGCUAAAAGAUCGGCCCGCGUUAGAUUAGAUAGUUGGUGGGGUAAUGGCCUACCAAGUCUACGAUCUAUAGCUGGUCUGAGAGGAUGAUCAGCCACACUGGAACUGAGACACGGUCCAGACUCC
rnacentral:rRNA from 1 species